rnacentral:rRNA from 1 species
UACGUAGGUGGCGAGCGUUGUCCGGAAUUACUGGGUGUAAAGCGCGUGUAGGCGGGAGGCCAAGUCUGUGGUGAAAUCGCUCGGCUUAACUGGGCGGGGUCCAUGGAAACUGGUCACCUGGAGGUCGGUAGAGGCAAGUGGAAUUCCCGGUGUAGUGGUGAAAUGCGUAGAGAUCGGGAGGAACACCGGUGGCGAAGGCGGGUCUCUGGGCAGUAACUGACGCCGAGGAGCGAAAGCGUGGGGAGCGAACAGG